rnacentral:rRNA from 1 species
UGCUUAACACAUGCAAGUCGAACGGCAUCACGAUACGUAGCAAUACGUAUUGGUGGAGAGUGGCGGACGGGUGAGUAACGCGUAGGAAUCUGCCUUGAAGCGGGGGAUAACCCGAGGAAACUCGGGCUAAUACCGCAUAUACUCGGAAGAGGAAAGCUAGGCAGCGAUACCCGGCACUUCAAGAGGAGCCUGCGUCUGAUUAGCUAGUUGGUAGGGUAAAGGCCUACCAAGGCGAUGAUCGGUAGCUGGUCUGAGAGGAUGACCAGCCACACUGGGACUGAGACACGGCCCAGACUCCUACGGGAGGCAGCAGUGGGGAAUAUUGGACAAUGGGGGCAACCCUGAACCUUCUAACCGCGUGUGUGAAGACGGCCUUCGGGUUGUAAAGCUC